ACACGUUCUCGGGGCGGGGUGCAAUUCCCCACCGGCGGUAAUCGUCCUUAACCACGACGUAGCCCGCGAGCGCUCCGUUAUCGCAGGCGGCAAUCCGCGAUGGCGCAGGUCAGCAGACCCGGUUGGAUUCCGGGGCCGACGGUAUAGUCCGGAUGAAAGAGAACAGGU
rnacentral:ncRNA from 1 species